UUCUCGAUGGCUGUUAGUCGCCAUGAUGGGCAUGUGUCCCUCGCCAACGAGGCUACAAUCUUCUAGCUUAGGCUGUUCUCCAAUGACCUCAAGAUGCUGAACUUUUUUGCUGCCAAGGACAUCAACACCGAUGACAUGACCACUCUCUCUAGAGCACACACCAUCAGCCAAGCCUGCUGAGAGUUCAUCUCAAACUGCUCGGACAUGAACUACAGCCUCAGCAAAGAUCUCAAGGACAAAUACAAGUGUGGUAUAACAACACAAAGUUAGUGCAGGACUACAAAACCCUGACAUCUUGGAGAACUCUAUAUGUCUCGUCCCUCUCCAGCUCCAUCUCUUGAACAACUACGAGGUCCCACCAUCCACCGUCGUGGAAUAUAAGUUUGGCCCUGAGAAGGCUAGCACUUUGAACACAUAAGCUGUAAUGAAGUUUGGAUCCAAAUGGGAUACAACAGAUAUUUGAGAGGCUGUGAAGAUGACAGCAUAAAUUGCAGCCAUGAAGAGGAUGACAACAUAAGCAUCUAUAUAUGUGCUAUAUAUGUUGAAUGGCUAGGAUUGUGAGCCAAUACUGUCUUUUAGUGUAAUGGUUGGACACCUGGAUGAAGUUGGAAUAUAUUGGGAUUGGAAUCAGAAGCAUAUAUCCAUGUAUUGGAAUUUAUUGUAUUUGUGUAAUGGAUAGACAUUUGGACCA